rnacentral:lncRNA from 1 species
CAGCACUUUUUUAAUCACACUGCUUCUUGUAGCUUUUUUUGAGAAGCAAGGGGCAUCACACCAAAUCAUAGCCCAGUUUUACAGGACAAGCAAGCCCUUGGCCUGAUUUCAUCUGGAAAAUGUUACAUAUAGAGCCGUGGCUUCCAAACCUGGGCAUGGGGAUCUGAACUCUGUGUUUACAGAAAGCCCCUUGUUUGUUUGUUUUUUUGUACUGGGAAUCAAACUCAGGGCCUCACUCUUGCCAGGCAGGCGUGGUGCCCCUGACCUACAUUCUCAGCUCUGCCCCUUGUGUUAAGAACCAGUAAAACACUAAAGUAAAGCACAAAGAGGCGCGUAAGGGAUGGAGACUUUGUGUUGAGUCCAGCAGUGCUGAGAGGAUGUGACACCCAACGAUAAUAAGAUGUGCUGUGUUCCCUCUAUAUAUCACAUACGAAGGAACAGAAGAGCUGGAAGUGCAGAAGUGGGUUGUCGGGGUCAAAUUGCUUCCCAAGUCUAAACACCUGUGGAUAAUGAUGUUCAGGUUUCCAGCUGGUCAUUGGACAUUGAGUCUGGGUCUUAAGGAUGAAUUGAGGGCAAGGCUGAUCUGCCAUGCCGAAGGAGCUUUUCGCCACUAUGCCCUUCCACCAAGAUCUUUCUACCUUGGAGCCAAUUGACCAUGGACUGAAUCCUUUUAAAAUUCUCAGCAAGUCCUGGCAAAUUUAUGUUGAAAGUGGAUUCCGAAGCCAUGCACUACUCCCACUUGAUGCAAGCCACUGUCCUCUCUCACCAGUCUCCUGCCAGCCCCAUGGCUUCUGUCCUUGCUGCUUUCCACUCAGCUCUCUGUGGAGUGGAGCGGGGAUCACUGUGAAAUGCUGACCUCAGUCUGAUAGCCUCAGGUGACCGGCAGGAUGAACCCAAGCUUCUGAAGCCCUACCAGACCUUUUUGGUCCCUGCCUACCUCACCGACCAUGCUGAAGCCCCUUCCCCCUUCAUCUUCUGAUUCCCAAACCCAUCAAACCCACGCCACCCUCAGGCCUUGGGCUUUGCUGUUGCCUCUGCCUAAUGUGCUGUUCUCCAUGACCUGGCAUGACCAUUUUCCUCUCUCUCGGCCCGGGCUGGAUUACCACGUCCUUGAAAAGCCCGCCCUAGAGUCACUCAGACCCUCUUUAGUGCAUGGUCAUGUAAAAAUGUAUCCAAAAAGAAUUUGUCCUGAUCUUUCUCUUUCUGUUGAUAUUUGGUUUUCCCGCCAGAAUAAAAGCUUCAAGAGAGCAAGAUUCUUGUCUG